CCUACGGGUGACAGCAGUGAGGAAUAUUGGUCAAUGGGCGGAAGCCUGAACCAGCCAAGUAGCGUGCAGGAUGACGGCCCUACGGGUUGUAAACUGCUUUUAUACGGGAAUAACGCGCCUUACGUGUAGGGCUUUGCAUGUACCGUAUGAAUCAGGACCGGCUAAUUCCGUGCCAGCAGCCGCGGUAAUACGGAAGGUCCGGGCGUUAUCCGGAUUUAUUGGGUUUAAAGGGAGCGUAGGCCGCAUGUCAAGCGUGCUGUGAAAUGUCCGGGCUCAACCCGGGCCUUGCAGCGCGAACUGGCGUGCUUGAGUCCGCGGAAAGCAGGCGGAAUUCGUCGUGUAGCGGUGAAAUGCUUAGAUAUGACGAAGAACCCCGAUUGCGAAGGCGGCUUACUGGACUGUAACUGACGUUGAGGCUCGAAAGCGUGGGGAGCAAACAGGAUUAGAUACCCGGGUAGUC
rnacentral:rRNA from 1 species